rnacentral:rRNA from 1 species
CCAGACUCCUACGGGAGGCAGCAGUGGGGAAUAUUGGGCAAUGGACGCAAGUCUGACCCAGCAACGCCGCAUGAAGGAAGAAGGCUUUCGGGUUGUAAACUUCUUUUAAGGGGGAAGAGCAGAAGACGGUACCCCUUGAAUAAGCCACGGCUAACUACGUGCCAGCAGCCGCGGUAAUACGUAGGUGGCAAGCGUUGUCCGGAUUUAUUGGGUUUAAAGGGUGCGUAGGCGGAUUUUUAAGUCAGCGGUAAAAUGUCCGGGCUCAACCCGGGCCGGCCGUUGAAACUGGGGAUCUUGAGUGGGCGAGAAGUAUGCGGAAUGCGUGGUGUAGGGUGAAAUGCAUAGAUAUCACGCAGAACUCCGAUUGCGAAGGCAGCAUACCGGCGCCCGACUGACGCUGAGGCACGAAAGCGUGGGGAUCGAACAGGAUUAGAUACCCCAGUA